UACGUAGGUGGCAAGCGUUGUUCGGAAUUAUUGGGCGUAAAGGGCGCGUAGGCGGCCACCGCAAGUCGACUGUGAAAUCUCCGGGCUUAACCCGGAAAGGUCAGCCGAUACUGCGGGGCUAGAGUGCAGAAGGGGCAACUGGAAUUCUCGGUGUAGCGGUGAAAUGCGUAGAUAUCGAGAGGAACACCUGCGGCGAAGGCGGGUUGCUGGGCUGACACUGACGCUGAGGCGCGAAAGCUAGGGGAGCAAACAGG
rnacentral:rRNA from 1 species